CAGCCGCCACGGGAAUACAGAGGGUGCGAGCGUUAAUCGGAUUUACUGGGCGUAAAGCGUGCGUAGGCGGCUUCUUAAGUCGGAUGUGAAAUCCCUGAGCUUAACUUAGGAAUUGCAUUCGAUACUGGGAAGCUAGAGUAUGGGAGAGGAUGGUAGAAUUCCAGGUGUAGCGGUGAAAUGCGUAGAGAUCUGGAGGAAUACCGAUGGCGAAGGCAGCCAUCUGGCCUAAUACUGACGCUGAGGUACGAAAGCAUGGGGAGCAAACAGGAUUAGAUACCCGGGUAGUCCCUGUCUCUUAUAU
rnacentral:rRNA from 1 species